rnacentral:rRNA from 1 species
ACGAACGCUGGCGGCAUGCCUAACACAUGCAAGUCGAACGAAGGCUUCGGCCUUAGUGGCGCACGGGUGCGUAACGCGUGGGAAUCUGCCUCUCGGUUCGGGAUAACAGUUGGAAACGACUGCUAAUACCGGAUGAUGACUUCGGUCCAAAGAUUUAUCGCCGAGAGAUGAGCCCGCGUAGGAUUAGGUAGUUGGUGGGGUAAAGGCCUACCAAGCCGACGAUCCUUAGCUGGUCUGAGAGGAUGAUCAGCCACACUGGGACUGAGACACGGCCCAGACUCCUACGGGAGGCAGCAGUGGGGAAUAUUGGACAAUGGGCGAAAGCCUGAUCCAGCAAUGCCGCGUGAGUGAUGAAGGCCUUAGGGUUGUAAAGCUCUUUUACCCGGGAUGAUAAUGACAGUACCGGGAGAAUAAGCUCCGGCUAACUCCGU